rnacentral:rRNA from 1 species
UACGUAGGGACCAAGCGUUGUUCGGAUUUACUGGGCGUAAAGGGCGCGUAGGCGGCAAUUCAAGUCAGCUGUGAAAUCUCUGGGCUUAACCCAGAACGGCCAGCUGAUACUGCUUUGCUAGAGUGCAGAAGGGGCAAUCGGAAUUCUUGGUGUAGCGGUGAAAUGCGUAGAUAUCAAGAGGAACACCUGAGGUGAAGACGGGUUGCUGGGCUGACGCUGACGCUGAGGCGCGAAAGCCAGGGGAGCAAACGGG